rnacentral:rRNA from 1 species
UACAGAGGGUGCAAGCGUUAAUCGGAAUUACUGGGCGUAAAGGGCGCGUAGGUGGUUGUUUAAGUAAGAUGUGAAAUCCCUGGGCUUAACCUAGGAACUGCGUCUUAAACUGGACAGCUUGAGUACAAUAGAGGGUAGUGGAAUUUCCGGUGUAGCGGUGAAAUGCGUAGAUAUAGGGAAGAACACCAAUCAGGCGAAGGCAGUUAACUAUUCUAUUCCUGACAUUGAGGCAUGAAAGCGUGGGGAGCAAAACGG